UACGUAGGGGGCAAGCGUUGUCCGGAUUUAUUGGGCGUAAAGAGCGUGUAGGCGGCCAUACAGGUCAGCUGUGAAAACUCGAGGCUCAACCUCGAGACGUCGGUUGAAACCGUAUGGCUAGAGUCCGGAAGAGGAGAGUGGAAUUCCCGGUGUAGCGGUGAAAUGCGCAGAUAUCGGGAAGAACACCUAUGGCGAAGGCAGCUCUCUGGGACGGUACUGACGCUGAGACGCGAAAGCUAGGGGAGCAAACGGG
rnacentral:rRNA from 1 species